GACGAACGCUGGCGGCGUGCCUAAUACAUGCAAGUCGAGCGAAUCUUUAGGAGCUUGCUCCUGAAGGUUAGCGGCGGACGGGUGAGUAACACGUGGGCAACCUGCCUGUAAGACUGGGAUAACUUCGGGAAACCGGAGCUAAUACCGGAUAAUCCUUUUCCUCACAUGAGGGAAAGCUGAAAGACGGUUUCGGCUGUCACUUACAGAUGGGCCCGCGGCGCAUUAGCUAGUUGGUGAGGUAAUGGCUCACCAAGGCGACGAUGCGUAGCCGACAUGAGAGUGUGAGCGGCCACACUGGGACUGAGACACGGCCCAGACUCCUACGGGAGGCAGCAGUAGGGAAUCUUCCGGAAUGGACGAAAGUCUGACGGAGCAACGCCGCGUGAGCGAUGAAGGCCUUCGGGUCGUAAAGCUCUGUUGUUAGGGAAGAACAAGUAUCGGAGUAACUGCCGGUACCUUGACGGUACCUAACCAGAAAGCCACGGCUAACUACGUGCCAGCAGCCGCCGUAACAC
rnacentral:rRNA from 1 species